ACCAAUCCUGUUGACAGGUUGUUGGAACUGCAUUCCUACAAGUCUGCUGCAGGUUUGUUACAAUUUGUGCGUUUUACGUGUGUAGUAAUGUAUGUGACUAUAUAUUUAAAUGAUGUUUUAAUAAACGUCAACUGAAAACUAUAUCACUUUUAACCUCAUAGGCUGCGCAGAAUUCACAUACAGAAGUGAUCCAACUUCUCAUGACGAACAAUCCAAGUUUAUCAUCAGUGAAAGAUAAAUGGCACAAACUGCCUGUUGAUUAUGUUACUGAAACAAAUAAAGAGCUACAAAUAUUGCUAAAACCUUCGCAUUACAAACCAUAAUGAAGUGUGGAAGUCACAAAACAAUGAGAAAGAAGAAGAGCUGUAGUUAUGUUUUGAUUUGGAUGAUCCUGCUGGACAACAAAUUUGUUUCAGAUAUCGCUUUGAUGUUGAGACAUAAUGAACAAACUAGUCAAGAAGAGUACGAAACUGUGCGCAUGGACUGGUGGUCCGAGUGCCUUUCCAAAUCAUUAAAAUGAAUUAGGAUGUUUACCCCAAACAAAGUUUGCAAGCUGUGAGCAACAUGCACGUGAAUGGCAUUGUUGGUAAAGCUAUUAUUAAUCAUAAUCAGUCAAUUGAAAAUAUAGGACAAAGAAAAAUCAAUUAAUGCUUGUACAUAUAAUGAUAGGAUGAAGAAUGUUAACAAAACUGAAAAUAACCCAAUUCAUAUUAAUUCUGAUGGGUGCAAAGAAUAGCAAAAACCAAAAAGGGGGCAGGUUAAUGUUCAAAAAAGGGAUGGACCAUUAGAAAGUGGGACAGCGGGGAUGGUUCUUUUUAUGCACGAUUUUGCAGUGUCACAGGUUUGGCAAACUAUAUAGUAUAUCCGUUAACAAGCUGUCUGUUGAAUUUCAAAUAUAUCCUUGAACCCAAAAUAUGUCAUCCCUAGCCCUAAAUAUUCUUUUAAAAUGUCAAUUAUCUAAAAGGGGUGUGUCUAUAACAACACCACAUCCCUCCACUCUUUGAUGUAGCUGUUUAUACUUAAAUUCAAACCGUCCAAACUCAACGCAAGUAUCUUUACUGUUUAAUUAUGGGUUAACGAAUAAUUAAUCCGGGUUUAUAGGAUUCCCAUAUUGUUCUCUUUGCACACGUUUUCUAGUUGAUCUUCUCAGCACUGGUGCUUGCACGUCGUUGUUUAUCUCUGUUCUCGUGGAUGCUCGUGCCCCGUGAUCUUCUUCAUCAUCUGAAUCUCCCGCUACACCUUUUAUCUUUUUGAAGAAUGACGCGUCACAAUGUGUUUCUGGUUUUCAGCUACUAUCUUAGUUCUUUUCCGUUCAAUUUUCGUUUUUGGUCCUAGUUCGUAUCUUGUUGUAAAUUUAUUUCUCUUCCUUUAA